rnacentral:tRNA from 1 species
ACCUGGCUGGCUCAGUUGGUGGAGCAUGUGACUCUUGAUCUUGGGGUUGUGAAUUUGAGUCCCACGCUGGGUG